rnacentral:rRNA from 1 species
GACGAAGGGGGCUAGCGUUGUUCGGAAUUACUGGGCGUAAAGCGCGUGUAGGCGGUUGCCCAAGUCGGGUGUGAAAGCCUUGAGCUCAACUCAAGAAAUGCACUCGGUACUGGGUGACUAGAGGACCGGAGAGGAUAGUGGAAUUCCCAAUGUAGUGGUGAAAUACGUAGAGAUUGGGAAGAACACCAGUGGCGAAGGCGGCUAUCUGGACGGUUUCUGACGCUAAGACGCGAAAGCGUGGGGAGCAAACAGG